rnacentral:lncRNA from 1 species
CAACAGGAUCUGGGGAUUCAUCUGAUGGCCUCCGGGACAAGGUCUUGGUUCUUCCAAUUGUUCUCAGCAUGACUGUCCUUGUAGCACUCCUCUGCCUGUUGUUAUAUCACACUCUGUACAGAAGGAGGGCCUUGAAGAGAUCCCUGGAAAGCUCCUUGAGUGUGUCCGGUGCGCCAAUGAAUUUCAGUUACCGCAAUUUGCAGUCCAGAACCGGCAAUUUUUCGCAGUUGCUCGGCACAGGUCAGCAUGUACAUAUACAUAUACUUUGAAAGGGAUGAAAUUGUUUGAACAAAGCCAGUUGGACUUGAUCAAUUUGGAUUAAUGUUGUCUUCUCUUUUUUUCAGGAGGGUUUGGGAGUGUAUACAAGGGAAGCCUUUCAGAUGAGGCAUUGGUUGCAGUGAAGAAGCUUGACAAGGUUUUGUCUCAUGGGGAGAAGGAAUUCAUAACUGAAGUGAACACCAUUGGCUCUAUGCAUCACAUGAACCUGGUUCGCCUAUGUGGCUACUGCUCGGAAGGCUCUCACCGGUAUGCAUUUCAUUUCAUCGCCUAAAACCAAUUACCACUAACCAUAAUUAAAUUCUUGUCAUCCUCUUUUGUGGUCAAGCAUACUAUAUUUUCGAGCUUAUAAUGGGGUUGGAAUUUGAUGAUUCUUCACAGGCUUCUGGUUUAUGAGUUCAUGAAAAAUGGUUCCUUGGACAAGUGGAUAUUCCCCUCAAAGCAUUGCCGGGACAGACUGCUAGAUUGGGGAACUCGUUUCCAUAUAGCCAUUGCUACUGCACAAGGGAUUGCUUAUUUUCAUGAGCAGUGCAGGAAUCGGAUAAUCCACUGCGAUAUCAAGCCUGAAAACAUACUUCUAGAUGAGAAUUUCUGUCCAAAAGUUUCAGACUUUGGACUAGCAAAGCUGAUGGGCAGAGAGCAUUCACAUGUUGUCACUAUGGUGAGAGGAACUAGGGGCUAUCUGGCUCCAGAAUGGGUUAGCAACCGGCCUAUUACUGUAAAAGCCGAUGUCUACAGUUACGGAAUGCUUCUCCUGGAGAUUGUUGGUGGCCGGAGAAACCUUGACAUGACCUUUGAUGCAGAAGACUUCUUCUAUCCUGGGUGGGCUUUUAAGGUAUAGAUCAAUCAAGUUCUUGCUUCUGUAAAUCACAAAUUGUUAAGUGUUUGAUAUUUUAUUAACGAAAAUGCCAAUUCCUCUAGGAAAUGAGUAAUGGGACGACAAGAAAAGUUGCAGACAGGCGACUGGAAGGGGCAGUGGAGGAAGAGGAGCUAGAAAGAGCAUUGAAAACUGGCUUUUGGUGCAUUCAAGAUGAGGUUUUCAUGAGGCCUUCAAUGGGGGAAGUGGUGAAGAUGUUGGAAGGAUCACUUGAAAUCAACACACCGCCAAUGCCACAGACAGUUCUGGAGCUCAUGGAGGAGGGCUUAGACAAUGUAUACAGAGCCAUGAAGAGAGAGUUCAACCAGUCCAGCUUCUUCACCAUCAAUAAUAGUACCCAUCCUUCAUCAAGGGCUACAUGUAGUUAUUCCACAAUGUCACCUAGAUAGCAAAGGAGAAAUGGAACAAAUUUUGUUGUUGUCCCGGAAUUUUAUCACCUUGAUAGAUACUGUCCAGAAACAUAAUUCUUAUUGAUCAAUUGUUACCAUACAUACUAAUGGGCAAUGAAAUUAGUAGAGAACUUUGCAUAGGUUGAGGUACGAAAAUCUCGGUCUUUUAAAGGAGAUUUAAGCCAUUUCUGGUUUGACAAUUUGAGAAAUUGGUGUAUUUGACUUCUCUUUGAUUUGUCCCCACAAGGAUACGAUAGUCGGCCAAGUGAUUUGUUGCAUAGCUCACAUCAAUAUGCAUAAAGCAUAGAACUUAAGGCUUCACAAAGAAAAAAAAAAAAAAGAAGAAGAAAGGAAGAAGAUAACUAAAAAAAGUCUAAAAAACAUGACAUUAGGAGGAUGAGUCAAAAGACUCAUCAUAAAGUUUAAAAUCUUCAACAAUUUUGAAAGAAUUCAAUCUAGCUCUUUAAUUUUUAUAAGCUAAAUCCCAUUGACAUAAAUGAUAUUUAAUACUUCUCAAUUCCCAUAAUUGUAACUACAAAUUCAAUAAUCCAUUAUGCCAACUUUAAUCCCCUUAACUUUCAUAUAUAACCAUAAUGUUGGUAGCUAGUUUACAUUGAUAACUUUGUUCCAAACUUGUUGGAUCUAACUCUAAUAUUUAAUUACUUCAUGUGACUUACAUUGGACUUGAAAACUUGAAAUUUUUAUCAAUUCCUCCUUAAGGUCAUUCUGGUAACUAUGAUUAAGUUUGUUCGGGUGAAUAAUGACAUCAAAAGGUAUAUGCUGGUUUUUAUUAGAUGAUGUGAAAAUAAUAGGGAAAAAAAGAAAAAAAGAAUCGGAUUUUGAUGAGCAAUCAAGUGAUCCUUAUGAGUGCUUAAGUGCCCAUAACGACUUUACAUAAUUUUUUACUAAUUUUCUUAUUCCAUUUUUUCAUGAUAUUUUUCCGCUACGAUUUUUAAGAUUAUGAUUACACCUUAUGUUAUUGAUUUGAUAUAUGUUUUUUAGAGCUAUAUGCUAUUAUUCUCUAAGAGCCCCAUCGUGGAUUAAGUUUAGUUUGUGGUGAUUUCUUUCAUUAAGGAAUACUCUCUCUCUCUCUCUAAUUGGGAAAUAUCAUCGAUAUGUUGGUGGACAUUGAAGUGAAAUAUAGGAUAGUUUGUGGUGAUUUCUUUCAUUAAGGAAUACUCUCUCUCUCUCUAAUUGGGAAACAUCAUUGAUAUGUUGGUGGACAUUGAAGUGACAUAAGGGGAGAUGGAUAGAUAUUGAAGUGACAUAUAGGGGAGAUAUAUCCAUCUACUGAAGUUUCGGUUAUUUUUUAAAAAUUUGAUAUUUUUGCCAUUCACAUAUUUAAGAGAAUAAAAUAUAAAAGAGUUAAAUAUCUUAUUCCUCGUAAAAUUGAAAUUUCAACUUUUGAAAUGUCAAAUUACAAAAUUAUAAAACACAUUAAAUUUUGAUAUGCCUUAGAAAAAAAACAUAUUUAAUUCAUUUUUUUUUAAUUUUCUUUGUUAUCUUAUUAAUUAAGUUAGCAAAUUACAUUAAAAAUCAAAUAACAAUGGAUCAAUUAAAAGAUAUAACACUAUGUUCGGUUGUCUAAGAUUUGAAAGUAAUGACAACAAAAAGAAAACAAAGAAAAAAAUAAAAAUAAAAAUAAAAAAAAUAAAAAAAUAUUUAAAAUUAAUAAAUUAUUUUUACAUCUUAAUAAAUUAUUUUUACAUAAUUCUUUAUUCAUUCCACUUAUUUAUACUCUUUUAUAUAAAAAUUAAAUAAUUUUAAAAAUAUAUAAAAUUUUAAUUAAUUUUAAUUAUAUUUGAUUUUUCUUUACACUUUUUUAGAGUUAAUUUUGUUCACCUUCUAGAGCUUUGGGUUAAAUAUAUUUAGUCACCUUGAGUUUAAAAUUUUAUCAAAUAUCUUUCUUCCUUUUUUUUUGAGUUAGAGGUAGGGGCAUAACUUGAGCGGAUAGGCCCUACUCAACCUGAUGUUUGAAUAGCUUGAACAAUUAUUUUCAAUACUUGAGUUGUGAUAGAUUAAAUAUUUUCAAUUCGAGCUCAAUUUGGACGACUAAAGAUUCAAACAACUCAAACCUAAUCCAAAUUGGAUUUAAUAUUUUUAUAAUAUUUAUAAUAUAAAAUAUCAAAUAUUAUUAUUACAUAUCAUAUCUUGAAAUUUUGUUCUAUUAAUUAUUUAAAUUUUGACAUAAAUAUAUGAGUUUAUUAUACUUUACCCCUAUAACCUAUAACUUGUUUUACACAUUGUUCCAUCAAGUUCAAAAUUGAGUAAUGUACCUUCCAUAUUUAAUAACUGUACGUAAUGUGCAUUUUUUUUAAAGACAACUUUAUUUUUUGGACGGAAAGGUACGUGCUCUCCGCGUGAUUGAGGGUAAAAGUGUCUUUUUUCCUUUGCAACUCCCUCUCUCGAUCAUUACUCCCCUUUGGAACCCCAAAUUGUAGCCCGCUUCUUCCUGACCCGUUCUUCUUUCCUUCCUUCAAAGCCUUAGAAUGUGAAUCCCAAAAAGUUGCUACUGAAGCCCUAGAAAAUUUCUCAUGUUUGUAGGGUGGAAAUGUUUCUCCAAAUUUCCCUAAAAAAUUGCCCAAAAAUUUCCCCAGUUUUUUGAAACACAAAAACAAAACCCCAACCCUAAACUAGAAGCAUAACAAAAAAAAUUUAAACCCUAACAUAAAAACCCUAGCCCUCAAUUGGCCCUAGUUUUAUUCAACCAUAAAUCCCCCAAAUUUCCCCUGAAAAUUGCCUUUAAAUUUCUACAAAAUUUCCCCCAAAAUUCUCCUAGUUUUCUUAAACAUGAAAAUGAAACCCUAACCUUGAACUAAAAUCAUAACAUAAAAAUUUAAACCCUAACAUGAAAACCCUAACCCUCAAUUUGCCUGAGUUUUAUUCUUCCAUAAUUUCCACAAAAUUUCCCCAAAUUUUCUGAAAGAUCCAAACGAAACCCUAACCCUAAAGAAAUUGGAAGACAAAAAAUACCUUUGAACUUUCAUGUCUCUCUUCAAUGUCAGCCCUGCAUUAGCUUCUUUGGGAUUCUAGGGCUUCAGCUUUGAGUUUCACUAAUAGCUACAGAGGAGGAACAGUACAUGCUGGAGAAGAUGAGGGUUUUAAAAUAACAAUGACCCUUUUGCCCUUGCUUUAUGGGAACGAAGACAAUUUUGCCCUCAGUCACGUGGAGAGUACAUGUCUUUCUGUCCAAAAAAAAUAAUGUCGUAUUUAAAAAAAUACACAUUUUAUGCAAUUAUAAAGAAUUAAGGGUACAUUAUUCGAUUUUGUACUUAAGGGGGCAAUGUGUAAAAUAUGCUUUAAAUUGAGGGGUAAAGUGUAAUUAACUUUAAAUAUAUAGAAAAAAUAUUUUUUUGAAAAACAUUAUUUGGGUAAAUUUUGAAUUAUGCAAUCGAUUAUUUUCUCUUGAAUAACCUCAUGAAUCCGAACUCAAUCUAAUUUUUUUUUAUCCUACUUUAGAUAUAUAUAACUCAUUUGUCUUGUCUCGGUCACUUCGUCCCAAUCACAUUCAUAAAUUUUCUCGGGAAACUUGUGUUUGAGGCUGGUAAUAUUAAAAUAGUAUGAGAUUGGAAACCCAACUUUUGAUUUUUUAAUAUAAUUAUUCUAAUCCUAAAAAUAAUAUAGGGUUCAUGCACUUUUAGCUGAACUAUUUUUUAAUAUCCAAUAUGCCCUCUUCUUUCUGCCAGGUCAACCUCCACAUGUGAAAAAAAAAAGAGGUCUUCUUCCAUCUCCAGCAUCACCUGUGAAAAAAAAAGGGUCUUAUUCCAUCUCCAGUAUCACCUCCACUAGAUGACCAUAACUCCUCCCAAACUUCUUCACCUCCAUUUGCAGACUGUCCACUAUCGGGUCAACUUGUUUCAUCUCAAUCAUCGCCGCGGCUCAUCACCAGCGACGACCGAGGGAACCUCGACUCUAUGUACCGCAUCAACAUCUCCCCCGAUCCCGAAACUGUGUCAGAGCCACACUGCAGAACCAACAUAUCGGGUUUGAGAAUCGGCGUCUCGGCCGACACCAUACAGAUGGAUACGCAUUUGUGGUGUAGGGCGAACCGGAUGUAGGAGGUGAGAGGAACCGCUGGAGAUAAACGACACCAAAAUUCCUUUCCCAUCUUCCACUCCCUGGUUGUAGGUCUCAUCAUAGGAAACAAACGGCUGAGACUUAGUAAAUUGGGAGAGGAAGCAUGCUAGUUGUAGGUGUGAGAAGUUGCGGGAGAGUCAUGGACGAAGGUGGGGGGAGAGAGAGAGAGAGAGACUUGAAGAGGUUAGGUUUUCUUUUUGGGAUUUGGGUUUCAAAAGGGAGCAGAGCAGAUGGAAAAUUUUAGGCAAAACGUUUUAUGUUUUCUCGGUUUUUUGAUUUUUUGGUUUUUUUUUUAAAAAAAAAAUAAGUGGAGGUUGACGUGGUAGAGAAGAGAGGCAUAUUAGGUAUUAAAAAUCAGCUCAGCCCAAAGGGCAUGGAACCCAAAAUAUUUUGGGUUCAAUAUUGAAAAAUUAAAAAUGGUAAAAAUGAGUUUUGGUUUUCAUAAUAUUUAGAUAUCACCAUCCCAAAACCUAACUUUUCCAAUUUUCUCUUUCGUGCUUGCCGUGAAAGUCACUUGCUCCGCAAUUUACGCAAAGACUCUAUUACCAUUGACUUUAUUACAAUUUCUACAAGAAAAAUCGAACUUCAAGACUAAGCAAAUAUCCUAGGAAUCAAGCUGGAAGCUACAAUGCUGUUUCAGGGAAGCAUAUGAUAUACAAAUACAACCCUUAUAUGUUACAGCUUCGGUACUGACCAGGAGACUGUAAGUACUGGCCAUGGAUGCAGAAGAAGAAAGGCUAAGUAAAACCCAUAUCCAUGGCCAAUUGGUAGAGAUAAACCACAAUCAGGAGAAACGAAUACGCCACGAAGAAACAAAGGCGCAGAAUCUGACAACUGGGUUUGCGGUCGUCCAAGCUUUAAUUCUCAACACAGGGGUGAUCAAUAAGCCAUCUAACAGAUGCGAACACUGGUGGGUGCCAUUCUCUCUCUCCUUAUCAGUCGGUGUGAUUUAUUUCAUCACCAUUUUUGAGGUGUUGAGGAAAUGGUACCUUCUGCUCUACCAUUUGGACGUCAACUACCUGGAGCAAGAACUUAUUCUACUGGAAAUGCAUGGGGGUGCUCCGUCCUGGCGAAAUGAUCAGCCAUUGAAGCCAGAUGUGGUGAAGCUCCUGAGGCGUAAAGCUUAUAUCACGAUACUGAUUUCUGCUAUGCUCGCCUUUCAAGCUCUGAUGCUCCACGCCUGCAGAUCCUUUCUUUGCAGCUGAAAGUAACCAUCUUCCCCUUUAAAUAAAUACUAGAAUAAAAAAAAAUUGUUGUUUAUUAUGCCAAAUUUCUCGAUGCCUUUGAAGAGUGUCAUGGGAAAUGCUAUUAAGAUGCAAACUACAUAAUUCAAAAUGCAUUAUAUGGAACGAAAUUAUUUACCAUGAAAUUUAUUUAUAUUGUUUUUCUUUCUAAAGUAUUCAAAAUGCAUGAUAUGCAAUAGAAAAUUUUGAGGGAAAAUAUCACAGAAAGAAAAUAGAGAGAAAAAAUAGAAUAAAAAAAUAUGAAAAAAAAAUAAAAAAAUAUAUUUAAAGUCAAUAAAUUAUUUUUAUAUCUUAUUUUAAACUUAUUUUACUUAUUUUAACUCAUCAAUAUAAAGGUUAAAUAAUUUUAAAAUAUAUAAAAUUUUAAUUAAUUUAAAUUAUAUUUGAUUUUAUUUGACAUUUUUCAUGAUACAAUCAUGAGAAACUCGUUUUCUUAAACAUUUUUCUUUUCUUUUUUCAGUAGUUUUUGGCAACCAAACAUUACCUAAAAUUUUGUUAGUGCAUCUCCUUAGGUGUUUGUGCUCACAUAUUGGGCCCAAGAAUGGGUUCCUGCAACUACCAUCAAUGGGCCGGGCUGCCCAAUCAAUAACAAAAGGGCACUCACCUGGGUCUCAUGGGCCGAGAAAAAUGGAGCCCAUACACAACAGUUUUGAACCCAAACAUAAAUUUCAAGUUCAUAUAUACUUUUAAUCUCGUUUAUUCAUUCAUAUUAGAAAUCUAGAUUUAUAUUAAUUCAUUCAUGUAGAUCUAUAUAUUAGGAAUCAAAUUAGAGUGCAUAGAAACCAAAAUUAAGAGAGAGGAUUAUACCCAGGGAAGUUUUGUGUGAUACGUUGAACUGAAAGUGAUAAAAACUAAGACUAUGUUUAAUUCCCAAAAAGCAAUAAGGAAAGAAAAAAAAAUAUGAAGGAAAAUUAUUUUCUUGUAUUUUAUUUUUUUAUGAAAAACUUGAAAGGAAAUAAAAUAUAAUUAAAAAUUUAUUAUAUAUUUUUAAAUUAUUAAUUUCCAUAUAAAAGGGGAACAAAAUGUCAAUGAAUUUGAAAUAACAAAUAAAAAUGAUUUAUAAGUUUUAAAUCCAUUUUUUUUAUUUUCCUUAAUAUUUUCCUUCUUCUACUUUUUCUUUCUAUUUUCUUUUUCUCACAUUUUCUCUUAGAUUUUCUAAGAACCAAACAUAAUAUAAAAAAACAAAUAAUAUAUAAAAAAACCCAAAUAAUUUGACAUGUGGUAUAUUGUUGCUAGUCAAAGUAAUGGUUGUGGGUGACUUUUAGAAGCCUCCAAUAAGAAAUGGCCAAAAAACCUAUGAGCUUGGCAUUUAUUUGAGUAUCUCGGGGACAAUAUUUUAUUUUUAAUUAUGUGUUUUAAUUCAUUGUUUUUUUUUCUUUAAUAUUAUUUUAGAAAUAUGUUUAGAGAUAUGUUAAUUUUAGUGCUUAUAGUAAUAUAAAGAUUUUGAUAAUUAAAAAUUUGUUUAAAAAUGAUUUUAGGAAGCAUUUAACCUAUUUAAUCUUUAAAUUUUUUAUAAAAGAAUUGUUUUCAAGUGCUAAAAAGAUUAGAGACAUUUUAUAAAAUUACUAUUAAAUAAAUUCUAAAUAUAAUCGAGUCGUGUGACUAUAAAUUGCUAGACUUUUCCAUGUGAUUAAUCCUUGGAUACUUGGAAUUUGUUUAUGUGGGGUAGAGCUUUUGUGAGUUUGUUUGCAAUUUUCUCAUACUAGAAACAAAUGAAUGGUCAGAGAAAGGAACAUAGAAAAGAGAAGAUUGAAACACCUUCACCUGCUCCGAAGGUUCGUAUGAUCUUCAUGCCAGCCUCCAUGCCUCAUUUUCCCGCUUAUAAAAAAAAGGCCACAAAAGACUAGACUGAUCUGAUAAAGCAGGGCCGGAAAAGCGAGCUCGACACGAAGAAACGAAAGCCGGCCAAUGCAGUCCGAGAGAUCACACAGCGAACUGUUCGAGUCUGGGCUUUUGUUUCUUCGUGUCGGUCUUGCUUCUGUCUCCGGCCGGAGGAACAAAAUUGUACAGACAUGGAUGGGAAGAACUCCUGUAAUAUCAAGAGUCCUUCUAUCUUUGGAUUGUUAUAAUAAUAUUAUCUUCAAAACAAAAUUUAUGCAAGUGGGGGUAUAUUUUUUAUUUUUUGUUUUUGAAAAUAGGAAGUUUUAUACAAAAUAUAAAAAAAUCUUAUAUGAAAGAUAGGUAUAAUCUUGUUAUGUUAUUUGAAAACAUUUUUUAAAAUUGACAGAAGUAAAAAAAUUUCAAUUCCAUAAAUUUUUAAAUUUUGAAAAAGUCUUUAAGAAGGGUAGGUAAGAGGAUGCUUGUUAAUGGUUAGAAAAUAGUUUUAUAUGUUUUAGAACAAAAGAAUAAUAAAAAAAAACAUGCUUAGUGAUUAGAAAACAGUUUAUACUCUUAAAAAACAAAAAAUCGGAGUGUUUUUAGAUAAUAUCUUUUAAUUUUUAAAAUUAUUUUUAUUUAUUGAAAAAUAAUCAUACAAAAUGCAGAAUGAUUAUGAGUAAAGUAUUACAUGUGAAACUUAUUUUUAAAAAAUAUUUAAAAACAUAAAAAAAAAAGUUAAUAACAGUUCAAGUUUCCAAACAAACUAUUAUUUUACAAAAUAUUAAAUAACAAUUUUAAAAAAUAGUUUUAAAAAAUACUUUUCGAACACAAUUUAAAUUUUUUUCUUUUUGCAUAAAAAUUCUUAUAUUUUGUAUAAGAGUUUUUAUUUUUAAAAAUAAAAAAAUAAGAAAUAUAUUCAAAGAUAUUUAAUAAACAAUAAAAUUCAAAAGAGAAAGCCUUAAAUUUUAUGUUAUUAUUGUAAAAUGAGAAUAAAUGUGACUCAAAUAAUAGUAGGGAUGACUAUGUAUUAUUUUAAUAAUAUAUAUAUAGAGGGGCGGGGGGAAGAAAUCAAAGAAAAGUGUUGAGAGAAUGAAAGAAAGAGAGAGAGAAUGAGAGGAAGAAAAUUUCUUCUUUUUCUCGGAAUGCUCUUACAUGGGGUGUAAGAACCCUUUUAUAGGAUUCAUAAGAUGAACUCCCAUUACUCAUCUUAAAGAUGAGUAAAUGGAGUUCAUAAAUGACCAUCAAUGUGGUCAUUCAUCACUUCAUUUACAACAUUUCCCCUUGGAUGACCACCAUAUUAAAAGAAUAUGUUUCAUUAAAACCUUGUUAGUAAAAAUUUUUAUAGGAAAAACCUAGUGAAGGAAAAAGAGUACAAUAUUCUUUUCUUGGUAUAUUAGGACUACCUCGUUAAAAACCUUGCCAGUAAAACCCAGUAGGACAAAACCUGGACGAAGGAAAAAAGAGUACAGUACACUAACACCCUUUUACAAGCAUACUCCCCCUCAUGUCAAUAUCCUUGAGUUGACGCAUUCCAAUCAUGUAUAUUAAUUUCUUGAAUGUUGAGGUUGACAAUGAUUUUGUGAAUAAAUCUGUUAGAUUAUCACUUGAGCGUAUUUGUUGCACAUCAUUUUCACCACUCUUCUAGAGUUCAUGUGUAUAAAAGAAUUUUGGUGAAAUGUGUUUAGUUCUAUCUCUUUUAAUAUAACCCCCUGUUAUUUGUGUAAUGCAUGUAGCAUUAUCUUCAAAUAAUAUUGUCGGGUCACCUUUGAUAGAGGAGAGUCCACAUGAUUCCCGAAUAUGUUGGAUCAUAGAUCUUAGCCUUAUACAUUCAUGACUUGCUUCAUGAAUUGCUAGUAUUUCUGAAUGAUUUGAUGAUGUGGCCACCAUUGUUUGUUUGACAUAUCUCCAUGAAAUAGCAGUACCAUUGCAAUUAAACACAUACCCUGUUUGUGACCUACCUUUAUGUGGAUCUGAAAGAUAUCCUGCAUCUGCAUAUCCAAGCAAUUGUUGCUUUGAUUCCGUUGAGUAAAAUAAACCCAUAUCAGUAGUUCCGCAAAGAUAACAUAAUAUAUGUUUGAUACCAUUCCAAUGUCUUCGAGUUGGAGUGGAAUUGUAUCUUGCUAAUAAAUUGACAGAAAAAGCAAUGUCUGGAUGUGUACAAUUGGCAAGAUACAUAAGUGCACCAAUAGCACUAAGAUAUGGUAUUUCAGGACCAAGUAACUCUUUUUUUUUUUUUCGCAAGGACGAAAUGAGUCAUUUUUCACAUCAAGUGAUUGGACAACCAUUGAAGAACUUAAAGGAUGCGCUUUAUCCAUAUAAAAACGCUUCAAAACUUUGUUAACGUAUGUUGAUUGAUGUACUAAAACUCCAUUUGGAAAAUGCUCGAUCUGCAGGCCGAGAUAAAAUUUUGUUUUUCCAAGAUCUUUCAUCUCAAAUUCCUUUUUCAAGUAAUUUGUUGUUCUUGUGAGCUCUUAAGAAGUUCCAACAAGAUUUAAGUCAUCGACAUACACUGUAAUAAUUGCAAAUCCGGUUUCUGAUUUCUUAAUGAAGAUGCAUGGGCAUGUAGGGUUAUUCACGUAUCCUUCUUUUAGCAAAUAUUCGCUAAGACGAUUGUACCAUAUGCGUCCAGAUUGCUUUAAUCCAUACAAUGAUCGUUGUAACUUGAUUGAGUACAUGCUACGAGACUUUAUACUAUUUUCUCCAGGCAAUUUAAAUCCUUUAGGGAUUUUCAUGUAUAUAUCAUUAUUCAUGGAUUCGUAUAAAUAUGUUGUAAUAACAUCCAUGAGAUGCAUAUCCAAUCCUUCUGAGACUACCAAAUUGAUUAAGAAACAAAAUGUGAUUGCAUCCAUGACGAGAUAAUAUGUUUCUUCGUAGUCAAUACCAGGUCUUUGCGAGAAACCUUGUGCUACUAAUCGCGCUUUAUAUCUUAUGAUCUCAUUAUUCUCAUUGCGCUUUCGUACAAAUACCCAUUUGUACCCAACAGGCUUUACAUCUUCAGGUGUUUAGACUACAGGUCCAAAAACUUCUUGUUUUGUUAAUGAGUUUAACUCUGCUUGUAUAGCUUCAUUCAGUUUUAGCCAAUCAUUUCUAUGUCAACAUUCUUCCACAUUUCGUAGUUCGGGAUUUUCAUCAUUUCUUUUGACUUUAGAGGCCACUUGGAAAGCAAAAAUAUUGUUAAUAACAAUAUUAUUUAAAUCCAUUUUUUCUCCCGUGUGUACAUAACUUACUGAGAUAUCACAAUUUUUAGGUACCUGUGCCUCUUCAAGGGCUUCUCGUUCAAUAUGUGCCUCUUCAAAGGCUUUUUGCAUUAUUUAUGCCUCUUCUAGGGCUAUAGAUUUAUCAAUUUUAAAUUGAUCAGUCAUUUUGAUGGCCUCUUCUAGAGUGCCAAGUUUUUCUUCGGUUCUCAUUUUCUAGGAAGUUACAUCAUUUGAGCCGACAAGUUUACCACGCUUCAGGCAUAUCUUAAAUUCAUUUGUUAACUGUCCUAUAGGGACAUCAAUCCGUGCUGGAGUAUUUGUAGUCGGGAUAUGUUACUUUGUCACUUUCUUUGUAUUAAUGAAUGCAUCUGGUAAUUGAUUUGCAAGAUUUUGCAAAUGAAUGAUCCUUUGGAAGAUGGGUCAUAGUAGAUGCCUUCCAACUAAUUUCUCAUGGUUCUUCAGGAAUCGACUUUUCUCCCCUUAAUGAUGGGAAAACACUCUCAUUAAAAUGACAAUCCGCAAAGCGGGCAGUAAAAACAUCACCUGUCAAAGGUUCAAGAUAUCUUAUGAUAGACGGAGAAUCAAAACCUACAUAAAUCCUAAGUCUUCGUUGGAAAUCCAUUUUAGUGCGUUGUGUAGGUGCAAUUGGUACAUAUACUGCACAACCAAAGAUUUGUAAGUGAGAGAUAUUUGGUUGUUUUCCAAGCACAAGUUGUGAAGGGGAAUAUUCAUGGUAAGUUGUAGGUUGAAUAUGGACUAAAGCUACAACAUGCAUAAUAACAUGUCCCUAGGUAGAAGUAGGUAAUUUGGUUUUCAUUAGUAAUGGUCGAGCUAUUAAUUGGAGACGUUUGAUGAAGGAUUCUGCUAAGCCAUUUUGGGUAUGAGUAUGAGCAACAAGAUGCUCAAUAUUUAUCCCUACUGACAUGCAAUAGUCAAUGAAUGUUUGAGAAGUAAAUUCUCCAGCAUUAUUAAGACGUAUUGUCUUAAUUGGAUAAUAUGAAAAUUGUGCUCGUAAUAUGAUUAUUUGUGCAAGGAGUCUAGCAAAGGCAACGUUACGUGUAGAAAGGAGACAAACAUGUGACCACCUAGUAGAAACAUCUAUUAAGAUCAUAAAAUAACGGAAUGGUCCACAUGGUGGAUGGAUAGGCCCACAUAUGUCCCUAUGUAUUUUUUCUAAAAAGACUGGUGACUCAGAUAUAACUUUAGUAAAAGAUGGUCUGAUUAUCAAUUUACCUUAUGAGCAGGCAACACAUGAGUAUUCAUUGGGUGAAAGAAUCUUCUAGUUCUAUAGUGGAUGUCAAUGUGAGUGUUCGAUUAUUCGACACAUCAUUGCAGACCCUGGGUGACCUAGCCUGUCAUGCUAAAGUACAAAAACUUUUGGGUCGUUGAACUUCUGGUUCACGACAACAUAUGAUUCAAUAGGCUUUAUAGUUGUAUGAUACAACCCAGAGGAGAAAGUCGGGAGUUUUUCCAUUAUAAGCUUCUGACCAGAUAUAAUGGAAGUAAUGUAAAGAUGUUCUAUAUUAUCUUCAUUCAUAGUUUCAAUAUGAUAUCCAUUUCUGCGGAUAUCUUUAAAACUAAGCAAAUUUAUUCUGGAUUUGCUAGAAUAUAAAGCAUCAUUUAUAUGAAAUCUAGUUCCAUUUGGCAACGUUAUGUUUGCUCUUCUAGAACCUUCAACUAAGUUUGUAGUACUAGAUAUGGUACUUACAUUAGCUUUUAUUAAUGUCAAUUCAAGGAAAUAUCUUUUAUCUCGAAGAAUUGUGUGCUUGGUCGCACAGUCUACGAGACACACAUCAUCCUCAUUCAUCUUGAGACCAAAUAACACAUGGAUUUCAGAUAUAACAAAAUAAAACAAGGCAUAAUGUAAAUAACAAAGUAAAUCAGAUGUAAAUAUAAGACAUAAUAAUAUAUUAUUUCAUAUAUAAAGUAACAUCAAUUAAUGUUAAUUUUCUCAUCAUUUAUCAAAUGGUCUAUUUUUUCAUUGGGACCUUCAAAGAAAUCAAUGUCAUAGUAGGUUAGGUCCAAUCCAUCACCAUCAGUAAAGUUCAUCUUUAUCUCUUUUCCUUUUGCUUUUAUUGAUGCUUGGUAAAGGUCGACUAAAUGUUUGGGCGUACGACAGGUAUGCGACCAAUGCCCCUUCAUACCACAUCUAUAACAAUUAUUCUCGUGGUUCUUAGGAGGUUUAUCUUGUAAAUGCUUCCCAUUUUCUUGUAUUGUCUCAGUAUUGUUCCAUUUCUGGUGGUGCAACGAGGCUUUCAUUUUCUGAGAAUUAUUACUAUAAGAACCAUGGUAUCGGGGAUUUUUUCCACGAUCAUGACCACGUCCAUGAAUUUGGACGAUAUUGCAUUCACUUUAAGGAAUGGUUCAGAUCCAGUUGGACGAGAUUGAUGAUUUCUCAUUAAAAGCUCAUUAUUUUGUUUAGUAACAAGAAGACAUGAUAUUAAUUCAGAAUAUUUUGUAAAUCUACACUUUCUAUAUUGCUGUUGCAGGAGCACAUUCGAGGCAUGAAACGUAGUAAAAGUUUUCUCUAACAUGUCUUCUUCUAUGAUUUUUUCUCCAUGUAGCUUUAAUUGAGAGCUGAUUUUGAAAAGUGCGGAGUUGUAUUCACUAAUAGUUUUAAAAUCUUGCGACCUUAGGUGCAUCCAAUCAUAUCAAGCUUUUGGGAGAAUCACAGUUUUCUGGUGGUCAUAUCUUUCCUUCAAAUUACUCCAUAGAGUAAAAAAGUCCUUUACCGUAAAAUACUCAUUUUUUAAACCUUCAUGGAGGUGAUGACGAAGGAAAAUCAAUGCUUUUGCGCGAUCCUGCAGGGAUGCUUGAUUUCCUUCUUUGAUUGUAGCUCCAAGGUUUAUUGCAUCAAGAUGUAAUUCAACAUCAAGGAUCCAAGAUAGAUAAUUCUUUCCCGAAAUGUCAAGUGCCACAAAUUUGAGUUUUGUGAUAUUCGACAUUGUCAAAUAACUUCAUAUAUAUGACAAAACAAUAUUAUUAGAAUCAAUUAUAAUAACUUAAUAGCAUUGGUAUAACUUUGAUUAUAAACAAAAUCAAAUAAUUUGUUUAUAAUUUUUAACAAUAUGUAACAAAACAAAUCAACAAUAAUAUAAAUAUGUAAAAUUUUAUCCUAUAUAAAUAACUUCAAGUUUAAGAUACGAGAAUUACCUUCAGAACAAUUCGUGCUAAUAAUGUGUUGUAAAAAGAGAAUAAAUGUGACUCAGAUAAUAGUAGGGAUGACUAUGUAUUACUUUAAUAAUAUAUAUAUAUAUAUAAAGGGGGAGGGGGGGAAGAAAUCAAAGAGAAGUGUUGAGAGAAUGAAAGAAAGAGAGAGAGAGAGAGAAUGAGAGGAAGAGAAUUUUUUUUUUCUCGAGAUGCUCUUACAUGGGGUGUAAGAAGCCUUUUAUAGGCUUUAUAAUAUAAACUCCCAUUACUCAUUUUAAAGAUGAGUAAAUGGAGUUCAUAAAUGACCAUCAAUGUGGUCAUUCAUCACUUCAUUUACAACAGUUAUUAAUUUGUUGUAUUACUUAGAGGGGGUGAAUGAAUUGAAAGCACUAUGGAGGUAAGCUUUUUAGUUUUUUCACCUUAUCCUCUUUAUACAUAAUGUCUCCAUCAAUGAUGUUCAGUAUAUUCCUUAUUUUUGUUUUACUUAAGUGUUCUUGUAUUGUAGCCCUCUCAAGACUCUUCCUCUUCACUCCAAACAAGUUAAUUGUCUUCAUAUCAAAGUAACAUAAGUUGAUUUUCUUAUAGGGCUAAUGCUACUUAUGUGAUUAUUUUCUUUACAAAAGUUGCAAAUAAUAUUUGAGGAUUCCUUGACAAAAUAAUUUUUAAAUUUUUAUUUUUUUAUUUUUUUUAUUUUUAUAGAGCUUGUAUCCUAAUCCCUUUAUUGCAAAGAUUAUUUUUUUACUUGCCAAAAUUAUCAAAAUUCUUGUCCCCAUUUGAGAAUUUUGAAAGAGAAGAGAUUAACUAAUGAAUUUUCUUUUCAAGUAAGUAUAUAUUUUAUUCCAAGGAAAACCUUAGCCUUUUUUAGAUAUUUUAAACUCCCCUUUUAAGUCAUUAAUUUCAACUUGAAGAGAGAUGAUUUUCUUUUUAAGAUAAGCCUGAAAGUUAUUUGAUCUAGUUUAGGUAACACCUAGAGGAGUUGAAUGGUGUUUAAACUUUUCUGCUCAAAAAUGAAUUAUUUUAUAUUCAUAUAACAAACAUUUUUUCAAUUUAGGAAAGCCUAAAAACACUCAAUACAAAAACAUAAGAUUUUUAUAUGGAAAACCACCCAUAUCAUGUGCGGAUGUAAAAACGACAAGGUCAGACUUUUAAUCAUUAAUAAACUAUUUGAAAGUAUUAUACAUGGUUUUAGUUGGUGGAAGCUAUCGUUAAGUCUUACUACCCAACACCUACAAUGCACUUCACAUUUGCGAUAUAGCACUACGUGUGCUCUUAGUGGAUCUAACCUCAGUGUUUGAGAGGAUGUAGAUCUCCUUUUCAAUCCAACAUAAGCGAAAACAACAUUCCUUGAGAGUUUUAGGAAUAAGAUGACGAAUUUGGUUUUUCAAAAAAUUUGCAUCAAACCAAAAACCUUUUUAGGUAAAACAUUUAUAGGCAUAAGAAGCUGGCAGACUGGAUCUAAAAUUUUCCAAAAUAAGACCUUAAAAAAAAUUAGAAAAUCAAAGUUCCAAAAAUUUUGGAGAAUUCUAUCAUGGGUGUUUGAGUGCUCAUGGGAGCACUUGAGUGCUUAAGGAGAUUUUUUAAACUUUUUAAAAAUUCUUUUAGCUUGGUUUUAAAACCAUUAGUUCGCACCAUGCCUUAACAAACACCAAUUUGUCAUUCUUGAACCUUUUGAUUUUUACUUGUGCCAUCCUGAUUGAUCACAUAACAACUUUGAGUCUUCAAUGAAGAGUAAAACACAAUUUAGAAAGAUUCUAAACUAGAAUGAAAGGAAUUAUAUAGCCUAAUAUACCAACAAUCUUCUCCUAUGAUAAUUUUAUGAAAAAAAAUACAAAUUACAUAAACCCCCUAAUACUCUUCAAUGGAGUUUAAGAAUCUCUCAAUAACUCUCGUCUAAACCAAAUCAUUCUUGAACAUGCAGAUGAUGAUAAAUCACAUCUAAAAGUGGGCAAUACCCCACUACUUGUGACCUGCACACACAAACCAACCAAGUACUCAAGUAAAACAAUGUGUGAGAGAAAACACAACUCAUAAAUUCUAUCAAAUCAAGGUAAGAGUAGAUGGAUGUGAGUCAUGCAUACAAUGGAUAUCUAAUCAAUAGUAUCAAUAAAUUGUCUCCCCAUUUUUGUCGCAAAAAUGACAAAGAAGGAAUAAACAAUGAAUGCACAUAAGAGAAAGAGAAACAAUUAAGCAAAAGAACUUCAACUUAUUUUUAGAAUGCUUCUUUCUUGGUAAGAUCUCUUAAGAAACCCUUCUUGAAAAUAGUUUUUUUUUUUUUGUUUUGUUUUUUAUGAUGGAAAAUUGUUUUCUACCUUAAAAACUAUAUUUGGUAAAAUUUCACUAAAAUAAUUUUUUGAAAAUAGGUUUUUUUUUUGGAACAAACGCUUUUAAAUAUAUAUAUAUAUAUAUAUAUAUAUAUAUAUAUAUAUAUAUAUAUAUAUAUAUAUAUAUAUAUAUAUAUAUAUAUAUAUAUAUAUAUAUAUAUAUAUUGUAGAAUAUUUCAAGAAAUAGUUGAAAAUAUGAAAAAUGUUUCAAGAACCUUUGUAUCUUAGAUUUGUGCACUUCAGUUUCAUGAAUAAUAUUAAACUAAGAAAACUGUUAUUUAUAUAUUAAUUUCUAAAUAAAAUUUUGUUGCUGGAAAUAAUUAAAAUUUAUUUUAAAAAACUAUUUUCAAGAAUUAUUUUUGAAAACGUUGCUAAAAAGACAAAAGUCCUUGGUCAUUUUUUUUUCUUUUAUAUUUUUAUCUUUAUCUAAGAGGCCGGUCUUUUUUUUUUUUUAAUGUUCCAUAAUCCUUGUGAAAUUGUAACGUGUAAUUCAUUUAUUUGACUUCAAAAGUUAAGAAAUAAUGAACCUUUCAUUAUUGUAGUUUGUCUUGUAGUAAGAGACUUAAAAAUCCACGUACAAGAUGUCUUUCUUUCUUAAGUCAAGUCAACAAAAUGGAGGUGGAAGAAAUAAUGAACUUUCAUUAUUGUAGUUUGUCUUGCUAAAAGCUAUGUAUAACGGGUCUUCGUAAGUCAAAUCAAUAAUCAAAUUAAAAGAAAUAAUAAACUUCCAUUAUUCUAUUUUAGAGACUUAAAAAGCCAUAUAUAACGGGUCUUCUUUUCUUAAGUCAAGUCAAUAAAAUAAAAGUAGAAGAAAUAAUGAACUUUCAUUAUUGUAGUUUGUCUUGCUAAAAGCCAUGUAUAACGGGUCUUCGUAAGUCAAAUCAAUAAAUCAAAUUAAAAGAAAUAAUAAACUUUCAUUAUUGUAUUUUAUCUUGUAGCGAGAGACUUAAAAAGCCAUGUAUAACGGGUCAUCUUUUCUUAAGUCAAGUUAAUAAAUCAAAUUAAAAGAAAUAAUAAACUUUUAUUAUUGUAUUUUAUAUUGUAGCAAGAAACUUAAAAAGCCAUGUAUAAUGGGUCUUCUUUUCUUAAGUCAAGUCAAUAAAUCAAAUUAAAAGAAAUAAUAAACUUUUAUUAUUGUAUUUUAUCUUGUAGCGAGAGACUUAAAAAGCCAUAUAUAACGGGUCAUCUUUUCUUAAGUCAAGUCAAUAAAUCAAAUUAAAAGAAAUAAUAAACUUUUAUUAUUAUAUUUUAUAUUGUAGCAAGAGACUUAAAAAACCAUGUAUAAUGGGUCAUCUUUUCUUAAGUCAAGUCAAUAAAUCAAAUUAAAAGAAAUAAUAAAUUUUUAUUAUUGUAUUUUAUAUUGUAGCAAGAGACUUAAAAAGUCAUGUAUAAUGGGUCUUCUUUUCUUAAGUCAAGUCAAUAAAUCAAAUUAAAAGAAAUAAUGAACUUUUAUUAUUGUAUUUUAUAUUGUAGCAAGAGACUUAAAAAACCAUAUAUAACGGGUCUUCUUUUCUUAAGUCAAGUCAAUAAAUCGAAUUGGAAGUUUUUCCUUUUUUUUUUUUUUUAAACCAACUUCUACUAUUACUUUUAUUAGUUAUUUUGAUCAUUUGAUUAAAUAUUGAAUUAUUAUUAUUUUUUUAAAAUUUUCAAGUACAAACCAUUUCAUGUUAAAAAAUUUAAAGUGGAUCUAACUUUCUUUACAAGUUAAGAUAUCUUGAUUAAAGGAUAAAUAAUGGAUUGUAAUAUUUCAACUUUAAUUAAGUUAAUUUAUCAAUAUUCAAACUAAGUUGGAGAAAAAAAAAAGACAACACCUCAAUUUUAGUUUUCCAUUACACAUGGUUAUUUCUUUUUCUUCUUUUUCUUUUGCUUAUUUGACACACAAUGGCAGCUCUAGUCAUCAUACCUUUCAAGACUCUAAACUCACACAAAUUUUCAAUCUUUUCAUCAUAUCUUUUAAAAUUCUUGUCACUCAUAAAGUAUUUAAGACUUAAUUUUAAUAAAUUCAUAUUUUUAUAACUAUAACUAAGAGCUUUGACCUAUUAAAAAAUGAAUCAAAAAUCGUUUGCAAGACAUUAAAAUUUCAUAAUUAUUUCUUUUACCUUAAAUGUAGUUGUUAUGUGUUUGCUAGUUCACAUAUUUGCAAUAUACCCUAGGAUGGUUGAGCUAUGUAACAUGCUUCUCGGAAUCAAUUCAUUCGGUUUUUUUUUUUUCCUUUUCCCUUUUGGUUCUACUCAUUUUAAUGUAAAGAAGAACCAAAACAUAUUCACUAGUUGAUUUUACCCUUGGUUGCACAACUAACCAUAUGGAGUCUAGACUUGAAAAUUUUAUGCAUUUUGGGUCUAACAAGUUAUGAUACUUAGACCUAGCAUUACAUGUGAAAGAAAACAAAAAAGUAAUAAUAAAAAUAUAAUUCUCAUUGGAAAAUUAAAAUUGUUAUGAAAUAUUUUAUUUUCUCAUAUGUUGUUUAGAUAUUGAUGGAUUGACUUGUUAAUUAAAGUUGAAAUAUUCUAAUAUUUUUCUGUCAUCAAGGUGUCUUAUGUGGUGACUCAAAAAUAGUAUUAAUAAAUGAUAAAAGAGAUUGUUGCUAAUCUUCAAAAUUAUAAAAAGUUUAUACACUUUGCUAGUCUUCAAAAUUAUAAAGCGUUUAUACUUUAAAAAAACAAAAUAAAUAAACAUUAGUCUAUAUUGAAUGUGUUAAUAUGAAGUACAUUGUAGCUAUAAUUUUUUAAAGGAUUAAAGAAAAAAACCAUUCAAUAUUUUGCUAGGUAUAAAAAAUCUUAUUUAUUACAAAUUAUUUUGUAGAUGAUGAAUCAUUGAUGAAGAUAGGCUAAGGAAUUUAUAAAAGGUAAAAAGUAAUUAUUCAUAUAAAUGAAAAGUGAAGGUUAUAUUUGUUAAGUAUCUUUAAAAGGGGAUUUCAAAACAUUACUUUCUCUAAUAAUAAUAAUGUAAACUCAAAAUAUAUGUAAAUGAAAAUAAAAAAUAGUAUUUUUAUAAACUUAAAAAUAAUAUAUUUGUUUUUUUAAAUAUUUUUAGUCAUAAUUAAAGGUCAUCAUAUCUGUCAAAAAUUUAUCUUUAUAUUAUUUAUUUUAAAAAUGAUUAUUCAUUAAGAAUCAUUUUGAUAAAAGGUAAAAAAUAAUUACCAUAUAAAUUAAAAGUGGAGGUUAUAUUUGUUAAUUAUUUAUAAAAGGGGAUUUCAAAACAUUACCUUCUCCAAAAAUAACAAUAAUAAUAAUAUAAACACAAUAUUGACUCAAAAUAUUAUGUAAAUGAAAAACUUAAAAAUAAUAUAUAUUUGUUUUUUUUUUUUUAAUAUUUUUAGUCAUAAUUAAACUUCAUCUACUCAUCACGUUUGUGGGAAUGGUAUAUAAGUCAAUGCCUGCUUUGCUCAGAAAUCAAAAACCAAAACUUGUUAAUCCUUGUUAUUACACACUAUCCUUGCUCUGUGUUGAACAUGGGUACAAGCCCCUUUCGAUAUUUUAUUUCCUUUUUUCUGCUUAUGCUAUGUUUUGAAGCCUGUUUGAGGGUGGGUGAUGCUAAAGUUGGGUGCAGAGAGAGGGAAAGGCAAGCACUCCUUCACUUCAAACAAGGUGUUGUGGAUGAUUUUGGAAUGCUUUCUUCUUGGGGGAAUGGGGAAGACAAAAGAGAUUGUUGCAAAUGGAGAGGAGUCGAGUGUGACAACCAGACGGGUCAUGUGAUCGUGCUUGAUCCUCAUGCUCCGUUUGAUGGAUAUUUGGGAGGUAAGAUUGGUCCUUCAUUGGCAGAGUUGCAGCACUUGAAGCAUUUGAACCUCAGCUGGAAUGAUUUUGAAGGUAAUUAUAUACAUAUAUACCUUGUGAAAAUUCAUCAAUUUGUCUCAGCAGAAUAUAAUUCUCUAUUUUUCCAAUUUUACAGGAAUUCUUCCCACUCAACUCGGAAAUCUUUCCAACUUGCAAUCCCUUGAUCUCGGCCAUAGUUUUGGGUUUAUGACCUGUGGAAACCUUGAGUGGCUUUCUCACCUUCCUUUGUUAACACACCUUGACUUGAGUGGGGUUCAUCUUAGUAAAGCAAUCCAUUGGCCACAAGCAAUUAAUAAAAUGCCUUCCCUAACUGAGUUGUACUUGAGUUAUACUCAGCUUCCUCCGAUUAUUCCAACAAUAUCCAUUUCCCAUAUUAAUUCCUCCACUUCUCUUGCUGUGCUUGAUCUCUCCGUGAAUGGUCUCACUUCUUCAAUAUACCCAUGGUUGUUCAACUUCAGUAGCAGCCUUGUUCAUCUUGACCUCUCUAUGAAUGAUCUAAAUGGUUCAAUUCCGGAUGCUUUUGGAAACAUGACUACUCUGGCAUAUCUUGGUCUCUAUGGGAACGAGCUACGUGGUUCAAUUCCGGAUGCUUUUGGAAACAUGACUAGUCUGGCAUAUCUUUAUCUCUCUUCAAAUCAGCUUGAAGGUGAGAUUCCGAAAUCCUUGAGAGAUUUAUGUAAUUUACAGAUACUAUACUUGUCUCAGAACAAUCUCACUGGACUGUUGGAAAAAGAUUUUCUGGCCUGCUCUAAUAACACAUUAGAGGUUUUAGAUUUAUCUCAUAAUCAAUUCAAAGGGUCAUUUCCCUGGCUUUCAGGAUUUUCACAGUUGAGAGAAUUAUAUCUUGAAUUCAAUCACCUAAAUGGAACUUUACCUGAAAGUAUUGGACAACUGGCUCAACUUGAAGUGUUGUCCAUUCGUUCAAAUUCAUUGCGAGGCACUGUCUUGGCAAACUACCUUUUUGGUCUCUCCAACCUGUCUGUCUUAGACUUAUCUUUCAACUCCCUUACAUUCAACAUAAGCCCUGAGCAAGUUCCCCAGUUUCAAGCCUCUCGUAUAAUGUUGGCCUCUUGCAAAUUAGGACCACAUUUUCCUAAUUGGCUUCAAACUCAAAAAUAUUUGUUGGACCUUGAUAUCUCUGCUUCUGGAAUUUCUGAUGUCAUUCCCAGUUGGUUUUGGAAUUUAAAUUCAGGUUUAGCAUGGUUAAACAUUUCCAACAAUCACAUCUCAGGCACUUUGCCAAAUUUACAAGGAAUAUUUUAUUUGGGAAUGUGGGAUAUGAGUUCAAAUUGCUUGGAAGGUUCAAUACCACAAUUUCUUUUCAAUAAUGAAUGGUUGUAUCUCUCCAAGAACAUGUUUUCAGGCUCAAUUUCUUUAUCUUGCCGGAUUGCUAAUCUGUCUGGUUCGGGUUUGUCCCAUCUUGAUCUCUCAAAUAAUCGACUGUCAGGAGAACUACCCAAAUGUUGGGAGCAGUGGAAACAUCUAAUUGUUCUUAAUUUGGCAAAUAAUAAUUUUUCUGGGAAAAUUAAAAAUUCAAUUGGCUUGUUAUAUCGGAUUCAAACAUUGCAUUUACGCAACAAUAGUUUAACCGGAGCAUUGCCUUUGUCCUUAAAGAACUGCAAAGAUUUGUGUCUUGUAGAUUUUGGAAGAAAUAAAUUAUCAGGCAAAAUACCUGCAUGGAUGGGAAGAAGCCUAUCAAGUUUGAUUGUUCUCAACCUAAGAUCCAAUGAAUUUAAUGGAGGCAUACCUUUAAAUCUAUGUCAAUUGAAAAAUAUUCAAAUGUUGGACCUCUCAAACAACAAUCUAUCUGGUACUAUACCAAAAUGUCUCAACAAUUUAAGUGCCUUAACUCAAAAAGGGAGUUUGGUCAUUUCUUAUUAUGAAGGAGAGUUGAAUGGUUGGAAGCUCUCCUAUCUUGAUAAUACAUUGGUUCAAUGGAAAGGAAAAGAACUAGAGUACACUAAAACUCUUGGACUUGUGAAGAGCAUUGAUUUUUCGAAUAACAAGUUAAUAGGAGAAAUUCCGUCAGAAGUAACUGAUUUGGUAGAAUUGGUGUCAUUGAACUUAUCAAGAAACGAUUUGAUUGGACCAAUCCCUGCAACCAUUGGUCAAUUGAAAUUAUUAGAUUCUCUUGAUCUAUCUCAAAACCAGCUUAAUGGUAGAAUUCCAGAUAGUCUUUCUCAAAUAGCUGGUCUAAGUGUUUUAGACCUAUCAAAUAACACCUUGUCAGGUAAAAUUCCAUUAGGCACUCAAUUACAGAGCUUUAAUACCUCCACAUACGAGGGAAAUCCUGAACUUUGUGGGCUACCUCUUUUGAAAAAGUGUCCAAAAGAUGAACCUGGGGAAGCCUCCUUCAUUGGUUUUAGUAGUAAAACAGAGGAUAUUCAAGAUGAUGCAAAUAAUAUAUGGUUUUAUGGAAAUAUCGUUCUUGGAUUCAUCGUCGGAUUUUGGGGAGUUUGUGGCACUUUACUACUCAAUAGUUCAUGGAGAUAUGCCUAUUUCAAGUUCUUGAACAAGAUAAAAGACCGAGUGUAUGUGACAACAACAAUAAAUAUGAAUAGACUAUGGAGGAGCUUCCAAAUUUAAAUGGUAAGAUUUCUCAAAUUCUCUCCUUAGUCUUUUUAAUAAAUUAUAUUACCUUAGUAGCCUCUUUCUAUUAUUGCUCAAAUCCCUAUUCUAUUAAUUAACUUACCUUCCACAACUUAUGGAGAUAAAAUAAGAUUUUUCAAAUAAAAAUAUCAUAUUUUAUUUGAUUAGAUGUGAAAUUCAACUAUAACUAAGGAAGCCUUGAAUAUUUUGAUAUACCAAAUAUAACAACACCACAUUUUUAGUUCUCAUUGUACAUAUAGAUAAAUGUUAUGGCUUGAGAAUCAUAGUUGAAAAAUUAUAAUUAUCACUAUUUUUUUCUCAUCUUGCUUUUACUUACAGUUGUACCUUUUGCUGAAGUUCAGUCAACUUGCUUUAAGAAUAUUUGAGGUUUUAUUGUAAGAAGCAUACUACCAUACUUUCCUUUAUAUUAAUCAAGAAAAGUAAAUUUGCUUCUAUUGAAGACAUUUUUUUCAAAUUGAUGAAUAUUAUUUCAUUUGUUGUAUUGCAGAACUUCAAUUGGGUUGCAUCUCAAGGAUUAGUAGGUAAUAUAUGCUUGUGAGUAAUGAGUUUAUUUAGUAUUGGACAGCCUGAAUGUAAGAGCAUUUGUGUUUAUUGAACUCAUCAUCUUAUAAAUAACUUUGGCGUGUAUUAAGUUUGUUUAUUUGAUAAUAGGCGUGGCUUAAGUUUCUUAUGUUAUGCUCUAUUUAGAGCGAAUCAAAUAUAUUAGAGGAUGAUAUCAAGUCCUUUGUGGUGCAAUGCUAGAAACUACUUCGCUUUAAAAAAAACGUUUUCUUUUGCUCAAAAACCAGUAGCAACUAAAGCCAUAAUUUAAAAUGGGACAUGGUAAGACUAAGAACAGAAACUGAGCACUCUGUUUUUCUGGUGCCCAAGCAUGGAAGUUAUUAUAAUAAAAAGAAACAGCUGGUCAGAAUAAAACAAAAUUCAAAACAUGGUGUUUCUCACAAUGCAUAUUGAGGCUUCAUCCACUGAUAUUCCACAACAGAUUAACCGUCAAAAACCCUUAUGUUGAGUAGGAGAAAAGAAGCUCCAUACUUCUCAGGACAUACAGAACAACACCUUGGGUAGAGACCUUGACCAUGCUUGCAGAAAUGUGUUUUUGGAGCAGCAAUCCGAAGUAUAGGAGGCUUCAUAUUUGGGAACACUCCUCAUUCAAUGUAUCAUUGUGACUGAGAUGACUACAUAUUGAGGUUUGAUCAGUUCUAGGAAGGUGACUGGUUAUCAUAAAGCAUUUACCAACCAUUCUUGAAUACAUACUUAUGUGAUUUAGCAGGAUGGAACUGCAACUAGUCAUUAAUUAAGCAACAAAAAUGGCUGUGGUAAGAUUCUGAGACAUUGAUUGUAUAUUCCAUUGUUUUUUAUUUGAGGUUAAAUUCGGCUUUUGUUUUUUUUACUUUUUAAUUCUCUACUGCUUACAUGCCUCUUGUAUCUGAAGAGGCUAAUUGUUCAUGCGGUUGAAUUUUGCAACAUUUUCUUAUUGUUCGGGGCUUAAGCUUCUGUUCAUUUUUUCAUUAUUAUGUUUUUGUGCUUUGUUUUUUAUGACUAAUCCCAUGCCACAUAGUGAAGUGUUCACAGAGAAUGACUGGAAAUUUGUCCAGCUUGGGCUUGCUCUAUUUUAGAACAUUUUAGCCAUUCAAGACAUCUCGUUGCAGUAGAAGGCUGGGAGUCUGCACGCCACUCAAUUUUUAUCUCUGAGUAACCAAUUUUUGGUGCUGUUAUUCUUCAUUGAUUUAGAAGAUGAGCUGUUAUUUUUGGGGAUAUCUGUGUUAUAAUACACAAUAGUAUGCAUUGGGAUAUGCUACUACUGAAAACAGAACAAUCUGUUUUUGUGGCGUCCAAGCAUAAAAGCUAUUGUCACACAGCGAGGUCUGAUUUCCAACUGUGAAUCAAAUUGCUCGAGGUACUUCAUAUGCAGAUCGCUGCAAGUGGCUUUGGCCAUCAAUCUCCUUCAGGGGAUGAUAAUAUUGAGAUUGCAGUGAAGGUUUGGGUGUUUGUCACAAUGCCUGUUGAAGCGUCAUCAGAUGAUAUUUAGUCAUCAGAUGAUAUUUAAUGACAGAUAGGGUAUCUGUGGGGUUGAAAUCUCAUUACAUGCGGCAACACAGUUCUUGAUAUUUAAUGACAGAACGGUAAGCGAACUUUAUAUGUAGUUUUUUCCCUUCUCAUGGGUUCAUUUGUAAGUGUCCCAAUUUUCAAACAGAUGAAUAAUGGAUGGUGAAAGUGUCCUACACAUCAUAGAACAAAGAACAAGGAACAAGGAUCAGGAGUUCCCUUUACCUCUUGGGAUCUGUGUUGACACAUCCAUCUCAAAUUUCACUACUUGCAUUUUCUUUUGGGAAGUUUUUAUUGAGGACAGAAUAAUAAAUUAGCAUAUAGCUCUGUGAUAUCUGUCUAACCAUGCUGGCUUUUCCAUUUUGCAGAUUUGCAUGCUAGAUUUAGUGCUUAAACUAUCACUGGAAGAUUCUAAAGAGCCUCAAACAGCCCACAUCCUUCUUUAAAAGUUAGAUUUAUGAUCAGACUGAUCAAGGGUUGACUCAUUUUCUCUUGAAUCUGAUCAAAUCCUUCGACUCUCAUACUAACCCAAAAGGUUUCCCCUUUCAUUUCAACAACUUAGAAGUUCAUUGUUGAUGAUGAUGUUGCUGUUAUAUUCAUUAUUAUUACAACUAAUUUGAUAAGCAAUUAUUGUUAUUAUUUUUCUUUAUCUUAUAACACAAUCAUAUGAUAAAUGGAAUAUAAUGUCAUGACUGCAUUGAAAUUCUUGACCAAACAGAAAAAUGGGAAAUUUUGCUGUCUAUUUUAAAGCAUUGUAAUCAAUAUAGGGUAUCAUGAUGAUGAAUCAAGUCAACCUUGCCCCUACACUUUUGUGGUUGUGAAUGCAUUGAAAGAAAGUAAUAAUUCAGUCUGUGAAUCAAACAGGCCAUUAGUUCUUCGAAAGACUGAUACUCGAGAUGAAUGGGAAUUUGAGGCUGUAAGGCUGGGACGAUGAUGUAAACGGCACUCGCCAAUGGGUUCCUGAAUGGUCUGCAGUUUCUAAUCCAUGUGAUAUUGCUGGGGCUUGCCCUGUGUAGCUUGGACUGAAGCAAAACUAAUGCCUCCAGCAUGUACAUGCCUGCUGGGGGCUUCUAAUGUGGGAGACGGCGGCCAGUGCUCAGAGAAUUCUUCGGUGUCAACCGCGAGAUGUGAUAAUAAUCAUCGGAAUUCGACUGCUUCCAAGCUGAAGAUGUCGAUAGUGCAGCAAACUAAGUACUAUUAUCUCAUUUUUCCGAUUAUAGCAAAUUACAGUAACAUCUCGCCAUUAUCACAGUGCGGUGAUGCUUGUUUAUCAGACUGUGAUUGUGCUGCUUCCGUGUUGGCUGCUAAACAACUUGGAGUUUGGUGGAUUCGAGGACACGAGUUCGACCUUGUUUGUGAAGGUUGGGCCUAAGGGAUCACCUGGAGGCAACGCAACAGGAUUUGGGGAUUCAUCUGAUGGCCUCUGAGACAAGGUCUUAGUUCUUCCAAUUGUUCUCAGCAUGACUGUCCUUGUAGGACGACUCUGCUUCUUGUUAUACCACAGUGUGUACAGGAGGAGGGCCUUGAAGAGAGCCCUGGAAAGCCCCUUGAUUGUGUCCGGCGCUCCAAUAAAUUUCAGUUACUGUGAUUUGCAGUGCAGAACCGGCAAUUUGCACAGGUCAGCAUGUACAUAUACAUAUAUAGACUUUGAAAAGGAUGAAAUUGCUUGAACAAAGCCAAUUAGACUUGAUCAAUGAGGAUUAAUGUUGUCUUCUUUUUUUUUUUUUUUUUCAUGAGAGUUUGGGAGUGUAUACAAGAUGGGACAUUGGUUGCAGUGAAGAAGCUUGACAAGCCUCUUGGGAAGAAGGAAUUCAUAACUGAAGUGAAAACUAUUGGCUCUAUGCAUCACAUGAACCUGGUUCAACUCUGCGGCUACUGCUCAGAAGGCUCUCACCAGUAUGCAUUUCAUUUCAUUGCCUAAUACCAAUUACCACUAACCAUAUUUAAAUUCUUAUCAUCCUCUUUG